GAUGAACGCUGGCGGCGUGCCUAAUACAUGCAAGUCGAGCGAACAGACGAGGAGCUUGCUCCUCUGACGUUAUCGGCGGACGGGUGAUUAACACGUGGAUAACCUACCUAUAAGACUGGGAUAACUUCGGGAAACCGUAUCUAAGGCCGGAUAAUUUAUUGAACCGCAUGGUUCAAUAGUUGAAUUCGCUUUUUCUUUCACUUAAAGAUGGAUACGGGCCGCAUUAGCUAGUUGGUAAGGUAACGGCUUACCAAGGCAACGAUGCUAAGCCGACCUGAGCGGGUGGUUCGCUACAUUGGAACAGAGACACGGCCCAGACUCUGACGCGAGGACGCAGUAGGGAAUCCUACGCAAAGGGGCAAAGCGUGACGGAGCACAGCCGGGUGAGUGCUGAAGGUCUUCGGAUGGUAAAACUAUGUUAUUAGGGAAGAACAAAAGUGUAAGUAACUAUGAACGUAUUGACGGUACCUAAUCAGAAAGCCACGGCUAACUACGUG
rnacentral:rRNA from 1 species